rnacentral:rRNA from 1 species
AGAGUUUGAUCCUGGCUCAGAUUGAACGCUGGCGGCAUACCUUACACAUGCAAGUCGAACGGCAGCACGGGGGCAACCCUGGUGGCGAGUGGCGAACGGGUGAGUAAUACAUCGGAACGUGUCCUGUAGUGGGGGAUAGCCCGGCGAAAGCCGGAUUAAUACCGCAUACGCUCUACGGAGGAAAGGGGGGGAUCUUAGGACCUCCCGCUACAGGGGCGGCCGAUGGCAGAUUAGCUAGUUGGUGGGGUAAAGGCCUACCAAGGCGACGAUCUGUAGCUGGUCUGAGAGGACGACCAGCCACACUGGGACUGAGACACGGCCCAGACUCCUACGGGAGGCAGCAGUGGGGAAUUUUGGACAAUGGGGGCAACCCUGAUCCAGCAAUGCCGCGUGUGUGAAGAAGGCCUUCGGGUUGUAAAGCACUUUUGUCCGGAAAGAAAACGCCGUGGUUAAUACCCGUGGCGGAUGACGGACCGAAGAAUAAG